UACGUAGGGGGCAAGCGUUGUCCGGAUUUAUUGGGCGUAAAGAGCGUGUAGGCGGUUUUACAGGUCCGCUGUGAAAACUCGAGGCUCAACCUCGAGACGUCGGUUGAAACCGUUUGGCUAGAGUCCGGAAGAGGAGAGUGGAAUUCCCGGUGUAGCGGUGAAAUGCGCAGAUAUCGGGGAAGAACACCCGGUGGCGAAGGCGGCUCUCUGGGACGGUACUGACGCGUGA
rnacentral:rRNA from 1 species